GCGAGAUGCUGCGCAUGCACCACGUGC
rnacentral:piRNA from 1 species